CCCCAGUGCUUCUCAAUCGCGCUGCCAGGUACUCUCAAGAGUCGUUCGCCGCCUUUGCGUCUGCCUUGCCACAGCCGUCGCCGUUCCUUAUACUGAUGUUUUUGGAACCUGGCACAUAAUCAAGAUAAGGAAGUAAUAAAAUUGUUGGUUUGCUUUGGAAAAAAAAAGCCUGAGGUACGAUGAGUUUGGUACUGCCUAAUGUCUUUUUUUUUCUCUUUGUAUUAAUGUGAUGAUUGUGAAUAAACUAAAUGUUCACCUGGUUGUCUUGUGACAGCUAAUAAAGAGUUUUCCUAUGAAUGAAGUAUAGAGGGCAUAAGAGACAAAUUAAUUGUCCUAUUUGAAUUUCAAAGAGUUAGACAUCACUCACAUGUUCCAUUUUUAUGGAAGGCCAUUCUUGAAUACUUUACUGUCGAAGACAAGUUUCCGUGGAAGCGACAUCUAGAAGCUUGAAAAUAUGAAGCUGGUCAUGAUUACAAGUUAUGAAGUUAUCAAGAUUGUUUGCUUUUCCCUAACAUCAAAUUUUAAAAGGGAAAAUUCUAUGGUGCUGAUCAAGGAUGUCAGCAUAACAUGUUGUUUAGGCGUGUAGUUGUUAGAACAGGACACGUGAUAAUUGCGUGUUGUUGCUGUCGUGAUUUCCAUUUCGUGGGAGU